rnacentral:ncRNA from 1 species
UCUGUGGAGUGCCACAUCAAACUGGAGUAGCUACGGCUAAACAGGGUACGAUGAAGCAGAAA